AUUGAACGCUGGCGGCAUGCCUUACACAUGCAAGUCGAACGACAGCACGGGUGCUUGCACCUGGUGGCGAGUGGCGAACGGGUGAGUAAUAUAUCGGAACGUACCUUAUUGUGGGGGAUAACGCAGCGAAAGCUGUGCUAAUACCGCAUAAUCCCUUAGGGGGAAAGCGGGGGACCGUAAGGCCUCGCGCAAUUAGAGCGGCCGAUACCUGAUUAGCUAGUUGGUGAGGUAAAGGCUCACCAAGGCGACGAUCAGUAGCUGGUCUGAGAGGACGAUCAGCCACACUGGGACUGAGACACGGCCCAGACUCCUACGGGAGGCAGCAGUGGGGAAUUUUGGACAAUGGGGGCAACCCUGAUCCAGCAAUGCCGCGUGAGUGAAGAAGGCCUUCGGGUUGUAAAGCUCUUUUGUCAGGGAAGAAACAGCAGCUCUAACACAGUAUGCGAAUGACGGUACCUGAAGAAUAAGCACCGGCUAACUACGUGCCAGCCGCCGCGGUAA
rnacentral:rRNA from 1 species